rnacentral:rRNA from 1 species
CAGUAGCCGCGGUAAUACGAAGGGGGCUAGCGUUGUUCGGAUUUACUGGGCGUAAAGGGUGCGUAGGCGGAUUGUUAAGUCAGGGGUGAAAUCCCGAGGCUCAACCUCGGAACUGCCUUUGAUACUGGCGAUCUUGAGUCCGGGAGAGGUGAGUGGAACUGCGAGUGUAGAGGUGAAAUUCGUAGAUAUUCGCAAGAACACCGGUGGCGAAGGCGGCUCACUGGCCCGGUACUGACGCUGAGGCACGAAAGCGUGGGGAGCAAACAGGAUUAGAUACCCCCGUAGUCCCUGUCUCUUAUAC